CAGCAGUAGCCGCGGGAAUACGGAGGGUGCAAGCGUUACCCGGAAUCACUGGGCGUAAAGGGCGUGUAGGCGGCCUGCCAAGUCUGGUUUUAAAGCCUGCGGCUCAACCGCAGAGAUGGACUGGAGACUGGUAGGCUAGACCUCUGGAGAGAGAACUGGAAUUCCUGGUGUAGCGGUGGAAUGCGUAGAUACCAGGAGGAACACCGAUGGCGAAGGCAGGUUCUUGGACAGAAGGUGACGCUGAGGCGCGAAAGUGUGGGGAGCAAACCGGAUUAGAUACCCGUGUAGUCCCUGUCUCUUAUAC
rnacentral:rRNA from 1 species